CCUACGGGGGGCAGCAGUCGAGAAUUAUUCACAAUGGGGGAAACCCUGAUGGUGCGACGCCGCGUGGGGGAAUGAAGGUCUUCGGAUUGUAAACCCCUGUCAUGUGGGAGCAAAUUAAAAAGAUCGUACCACAAGAGGAAGAGACGGCUAACUCUGUGCCAGCAGCCGCGGUAAUACAGAGGUCUCAAGCGUUGUUCGGAAUCACUGGGCGUAAAGCGUGCGUAGGCUGUUUCGUAAGUCGUGUGUGAAAGGCGCGGGCUCAACCCGCGGACGGCACAUGAUACUGCGAGACUAGAGUAAGGGAGGGGGAACCGGAAUUCUCGGUGUAGCAGUGAAAUGCGUAGAUAUCGAGAGGAACACUCGUGGCGAAGGCGGGUUCCUGGACAUUAACUGACGCUGAGGCACGAAGGCCAGGGGAGCGAAAGGGAUUAGAUACCCUAGUAGUC
rnacentral:rRNA from 1 species